rnacentral:rRNA from 1 species
GGGGGCCCGCAAGCGGUGGAGCAUGUGGUCCAAUUCGACGCAACGCGAAGAACCUUACCUGGGCUCGAAGCGCAGUGGACCGGGGUGGAAACAUCCCUUCCCCUUAAAAGGCUGCUGCGGAGGUGCUGCAUGGCUGUCGUCAGCUCGUGUCGUGAGAUGUUGGGUUAAGUCCCGCAACGAGCGCAACCCUUAUCCCUAGUUGCCAUCGGGUCAAGCCGGGCACUCUAGUGAAACUGCCUCGGAUAACGAGGAGGAAGGUGGGGAUGACGUCAAGUCCUCAUGGCCUUUAUGUCCAGGGCUACACACGUGCUACAAUGGUCGGUACAAACCGUCGCAAACCCGUGAGGGGGAGCUAAUCGGAAAAAGCCGGUCUCAGUUCGGAUUGGAGUCUGCAACUCGACUCCAUGAAGCUGGAAUCGCUAGUAAUCGCGGAUCAGAACGCCGCGGUGAAUACGUUCCCGGGCCUUGUACACACC